GAUGAAGUUGAAAAUGUGGUUACAUAAAGCUGUGAACAUGGAUGGGAAGAUAAGUAACUCAAAGGCUAAAUAAAAGAAACGCGGUUGUAAAAACAUACAAGGCCCGGUUGUAAAAAUGGAGGAUGCUGUCAUGCAAAACGUCGUUGCUAAACCCAUGCGCAACCGCACGCAUCUGGCAGUGGAACCAGGGGUAUCAUGAUUCAUAGAUUCCAGGGUUAAAUAGUGCGGUGGAGUCACAGCUCCUUAGCAGGGCCGAGUUAUCCACUCGCAUGCUCCAUCCAUAAUCUCAUCCCAGCCUCUUCCUUUUUUUUCUCCCUCUCUCUUUUUGGGCUUAGGUUUCUUUGCUCUUUCCUUUCUUCUUCCUGGUCGAGAGAGCUUGACACCCAAGAGCUGUAAAGCUGCGAAGACGGGCGGCAUUUAGCAUUACCACAGUUAAAUAAUAGGCGACAUGUGCGGAUAUAUAGGUGGCUUUUUAUAGAUAUAUCGAAACCCUCAAGGUAUGGGUGGCGACAACAGCAUCCAAAGUUACGUUGUGAUGUAUUGUGGGUGUAUUGCAUGUGUAUUGCGCAAAC
rnacentral:sRNA from 2 species